rnacentral:rRNA from 1 species
AAUAUUGGACAAUGGGCGAAAGCCUGAUCCAGCCAUGCCGCGUGUGUGAAGAAGGUCUUCGGAUUGUAAAGCACUUGAAGUUGGGAGGAAGGGUUGUCGGUUAAUACGCUGCAAUUUUGACGUUACUAACAGAAUAGGCACUGGCUAACUUCGUGCCAUCAGCCGCGGUAAUAGGAAGGGUGCAAUCGUUAAUCGGAAUUACUGGGCGUAAAGCGCGCGUAGGUGGUUCGUUAAGUUGGAAGUGAAAGCCCCGGGCUUAACCUGGGAAUUGCUUUCAAAACUGACGAGCUAGAGUACGGUAGAGGGUAGUGGAAUUUCCUGUGUAGCGGUGAAAUGCGUAGAUAUAGGAAGGAACAUCAGUGGCGAAGGCGACUACCUGGACUGAUACUGACACUGAGGUGCGAAAGCGUGGGGAGCAAACAGG